rnacentral:ncRNA from 1 species
CAAAACGUGAUGACCGGGAAGAGUAAUCGGACAAUCACCAUUACAGAGAGAGAAUCGGAAGCUGAAAAGGUUCUCAUGUUGACCCGACGAAAACCACCCGCGAGCGGAAACCUGAAUGGAUCUAUUCCAUGUAUGGUGAACGGAUGACUCCGUUAUCAGUCAACAAAGAUGGUCAAUCAAAGACUAAUCUGGGUGGAACCGCGUGAGUUUUUACUCCCGCCCCAGUU